AUUGAACGCUGGCGGAAUGCUUUACACAUGCAAGUCGAACGGCAGCACGGACUUCGGUCUGGUGGCGAGUGGCGAACGGGUGAGUAAUACAUCGGAACGUGCCCAAUCGUGGGGGAUAACGUAGCGAAAGCUACGCUAAUACCGCAUACGAUCUAAGGAUGAAAGCGGGGGAUCGCAAGACCUCGCGCGAUUGGAGCGGCCGAUGGGAGGUUAGGUAGUUGGUAGGGUAAAGGCCUACCAAGCCGACGAUCUGUAGCCGGUCAGAGAGGAUGAUCAGCCAGACUGGGACUGAGAGGCGGCCCAGACUCGUACGGGAGGCAGCAGGGGGGAAUUUUGGGCAAUGGGCGAAAGCCUGAUCCAGCCAUUCCGCGUGCAGGAUGAAGGCCCUCGGGUUGUAAACUGCUUUUGUACAGAACGAAAAGGUUUCUACUAAUACUAGGAGCUCAUGACGGUACUGUAAGAAUAAGCACCGGCUAACUACGUGCCAGCCGCCGCCGUAA
rnacentral:rRNA from 1 species